AUUGAACGCUGGCGGCAGGCCUAACACAUGCAAGUCGAACGAGUGGCGGACGGGUGAGUAAUGUCUGGGAAACUGCCCGAUGGAGGGGGAUAACUACUGGAAACGGUAGCUAAUACCGCAUACCAUCGGAUGUGCCCAGAUGGGAUUAGCUAGUGGGGGGGGGAACGGCUCACAUAGGCGACGAUCCCUAGCUGGUCUGAGAGGAUGACCAGCCACACUGGAACGGAGACACGGUCCAUACACCUCAGGGAGGCAGCAGUGGGGAAUAUUGCACAAUGGGCGCAAGCCUGAUGCAGCCAUGCCGCGUGUAUUAAGAAGGCCGUCGGGUUGUAAAGUACUUUCAGCGAGGAGGCGUUACUCGCAGAAGAAGCACCGGCUAACUCCGUGCCAGCAGCCGCGGUAAUUC
rnacentral:rRNA from 1 species